rnacentral:rRNA from 1 species
AGCUCCAAUAGCGUAUAUUAAAGUUGUUGCGGUUAAAAAGCUCGUAGUUGGAUUUCUGUUGGAGACGCUCGGUCCGCUCUAUGAGCGUGUAUCUGGGUCGACUCCGGCAUCCUUGUGAGGAACACGACUGUGCUUGAGUGCAUGGAGUGGAAUUCACGACUUUUACUUUGAGGAAAUUAGAGUGUUCACGGCAGGCAAGUGCCUUGAAUAUAUUAGCAUGGAAUAAUAAUAUAGGACUUUGGUUCUAUUUUGUUGGUUUCUAGAACUAAAGUAAUGAUUAAUAGGGAUAAUUGGGGGCAUUUGUACUAUCGAGUCAGAGGUGGAAUUCUUGGAUUUCGAUAUGACAAACUACUGCGAAAGCAUUUGCCAAGGAUGUUUUCA